rnacentral:rRNA from 1 species
UACGGAGGGAGCUAGCGUUGUUCGGAAUUACUGGGCGUAAAGCGCGCGUAGGCGGCUUUGUAAGUUAGAGGUGAAAGCCCGGGGCUCAACCCCCGGAACUGCCUUUAAGACUGCAUCGCUGGAAUCCGGGAGAGGUGAGUGGAAUUCCGAGUGUAGAGGUGAAAUUCGUAGAUAUUCGGAAGAACACCAGUGGCGAAGGCGGCUCACUGGACCGGUAUUGACGCUGAUGUGCGAAAGCGUGGGGGAGCAAACAGG